rnacentral:rRNA from 3 species
AGAGUUUGAUCCUGGCUCAGGAUGAACGCUGGCGGCGUGCUUAACACAUGCAAGUCGAACGAACCUUCGGGUUAGUGGCGGACGGGUGAGUAACGCGUGAGAAUCUGCCCUCAGGAGGGGGAUAACGGUUGGAAACGACCGCUAAUACCCCAUAUGCCGAUAGGUGAAAUGAAUUUCGCCUGAGGAUGAGCUCGCGUCUGAUUAGCUUGUUGGUGAGGUAAUGGCUCACCAAGGCUUCGAUCAGUAGCUGGUCUGAGAGGAUGAUCAGCCACACUGGGACUGAGACACGGCCCAGACUCCUACGGGAGGCAGCAGUGGGGAAUUUUCCGCAAUGGGCGAAAGCCUGACGGAGCAACGCCGCGUGAGGGACGAAGGCCUCUGGGCUGUAAACCUCUUUUCUCAAGGAAGAAGAUAUGACGGUACUUGAGGAAUAAGCCACGGCUAAUUCCGUGCCAGCAGCCGCGGUAAUACGGGAGUGGCAAGCGUUAUCCGGAAUUAUUGGGCGUAAAGCGUCCGCAGGCGGCCUUUCAAGUCUGCUGUUAAAGCGUGGAGCUUAACUCCAUUAUGGCAGUGGAAACUGAUAGGCUUGAGUAUGGUAGGGGCAGAGGGAAUUCCCGGUGUAGCGGUGAAAUGCGUAGAUAUCGGGAAGAACACCAGUGGCGAAGGCGCUCUGCUGGGCCAUUACUGACGCUCAUGGACGAAAGCCAGGGGAGCGAAAGGGAUUAGAUACCCCUGUAGUCCUGGCCGUAAACGAUGAACACUAGGUGUCGGGGGAAUCGACCCCUUCGGUGUCGUAGCUAACGCGUUAAGUGUUCCGCCUGGGGAGUACGCACGCAAGUGUGAAACUCAAAGGAAUUGACGGGGGCCCGCACAAGCGGUGGAGUAUGUGGUUUAAUUCGAUGCAACGCGAAGAACCUUACCAGGGUUUGACAUCCUGAGAACCUCUUAGAAAUUUGAGGGUGCCUUCGGGAAUUCAGUGACAGGUGGUGCAUGGCUGUCGUCAGCUCGUGUCGUGAGAUGUUGGGUUAAGUCCCGCAACGAGCGCAACCCACGUUUUUAGUUGCCAGCAUUUAGUUGGGCACUCUAGAAAGACCGCCGGUGAUAAACCGGAGGAAGGUGUGGAUGACGUCAAGUCAUCAUGCCCCUUACACCCUGGGCUACACACGUACUACAAUGCCACGGACAAAGGGCAGCAAACUCGCGAGAGCUAGCAAAUCCCAUAAACCGUGGCUCAGUUCAGAUCGUAGGCUGCAACUCGCCUACGUGAAGUAGGAAUCGCUAGUAAUCGCAGGUCAGCAUACUGCGGUGAAUACGUUCCCGGGCCUUGUACACACCGCCCGUCACACCAUGGAAGUUGGCCAUGCCCGAAGUCGUUACUCCAACCCUUGUGGAGGAGGACGCCGAAGGUGGGGCUAAUGACUGGGGUGAAGUCGUAACAAGGUAGCCGUACCGGAAGGUGCGGCUG